UAGGGAAUCUUCGGCAAUGGACGAAAGUCUGACCGAGCAACGCCGCGUGAGUGAAGAAGGUUUUCGGAGCGUAAAACUCUGUUGUUAGAGAAGAACAAGGACGUUAGUAACUGAACGUCCCCUGACGGUAUCUAACCAGAAAGCCACGGCUAACUACGUGCCAGCAGCCGCGGUAAUACGUAGGUGGCAAGCGUUGUCCGGAUUUAUUGGGCGUAAAGCGAGCGCAGGCGGUUUCUUAAGUCUGAUGUGAAAGCCCCCGGCUCAACCGGGGAGGGUCAUUGGAAACUGGGAGACUUGAGUGCAGAAGAGGAGAGUGGAAUUCCAUGUGUAGCGGUGAAAGGCGUAGAUAUAUGGAGGAACACCAGUGGCGAAGGCGGCUCUCUGGUCUGUAACUGACGCUGAGGCUCGAAAGCGUGGGGAGCAAACAGG
rnacentral:rRNA from 1 species